rnacentral:ncRNA from 1 species
AAAGACCCGAUGAAGGGGAAAAGUAACGGGCUUUAAUUCCUUCAAGAGAGCUGAUGGCAGGUGUAAAUCAGCAGGGAAGUUCGCGAAGAGGCGCCCCGAAGGGUAUCUGCUGAAAAAGAGCAGUCUUUAUUAGGCAGAUACGGUUAUUCCGUUAAAAAUUCAUGGAGCGGGCAGCUAUAUGAAAAUAUCCUGCCAACCAGGGUGGCACCGCGGGAGAACCUCUCGUCCCUUGU